AACGAUGCAUAUGGCAUUCAUUACCAAUGAGUGAACAUAUAAACCCACCUGUGUAUAAACUCCUGUUGCUUCCGUGGGGCGGUGACCGCCGCCGAAGGAUGGCUUCGGCCGUCCGGAGGAGAGUCCCCGCGGGAGGUAUAACAUAAACUGCUUGCAUCUUCAUGGUCUCAGUCUGUACAUAAUCCAUAAACGUU
rnacentral:misc_RNA from 1 species